rnacentral:rRNA from 1 species
GAACGCUGGCGGCGUGCCUAAUACAUGCAAGUCGAGCGAACAGAUGAGGAGCUUGCUCCUCUGACGUUAGCGGCGGACGGGUGAGUAACACGUGGAUAACCUACCUAUAAGACUGGGAUAACUUCGGGAAACCGGAGCUAAUACCGGAUAAUAUAUUGAGCCGCAUGGUUCAAUAGUGAAAGACGGUUUUGCUGUCACUUAUAGAUGGAUCCGCGCCGCAUUAGCUAGUUGGUAAGGUAACGGCUUACCAAGGCAACGAUGCGUAGCCGACCUGAGAGGGUGAUCGGCCACACUGGAACUGAGACACGGUCCAGACUCCUACGGGAGGCAGCAGUAGGGAAUCUUCCGCAAUGGGCGAAAGCCUGACGGAGCAACGCCGCGUGAGUGAUGAAGGUCUUCGGAUCGUAAAACUCUGUUAUUAGGGAAGAACAAAUGUGUAAGUAACUAUGCACGUCUUGACGGUACCUAAUCAGAAAGCCACGGCUAACUACGUG